AGCAGCCUCGUCAAAUUCAGUGCCCACCUGUGCCAUGGUGGGGACUGGCCCAAGGGCUGCCACAGCCACCUCUGUGCUCCACGGUCCCAGUGUCCCUGAUGUGGGACAUGGGGGACCCAAAUGGGUUACGGACACUC
rfam:Caprimulgus carolinensis contig38346, whole genome shotgun sequence.